rnacentral:lncRNA from 1 species
AAAAGUGAAGAAAGGCACUAUUGAUUCCCUUAUACUGUAUGUCUUCCGGACCCUUUAUUUGUGAUUUUCUCGAUAUAUGGAUUUCAUGGUCUGCUAUGUUGCCCCUUUUCACCUGGUAUUUGUCUCUCAUGGUACCUCAACAUCUGAAUCCGUCGGUACAAUUAGCUUGGCUAUUUAUAUUGUUUGGAGAUGAAUCCAAAAUUCACCCCACGUGUACACUUAGCAAUUGGUUAUACUAACUGUGCAUCAUUCUACAAUGAUAAAUAUUCCUAGAUAAAGUUUCUAAGUUCAGGAUCAGAUACUGGGACUGUUUAUAUUGUCUUGGUCGCCAUUUUGUGUGUGUGCACGCACGCGCAUGCACACAUGUAUAUAAUUUGACAUGCAUUGCAAACUGGCCUUCAUAUUUUUUCAUACAAUUUUGCACUCCUCCAGCUCCACACUUCUUAUAAUCAUUUUUCAGAUUCUUGCAGUCCAUUUACUUCUAAAUAGGGGAAGUCCUCAUAAUGCAUGUGCAUGGUCAGACCGGAAUAUAGAUAGCUGCCUCAACCAGACCAGGCAAGUUUUUUGAGCCUAUACUAUUUGACUACAAAUUUGCUUCCAUGAAUGACAACUAUGCCAAUGUCAAGGUUUGCCACUCAGCUCGAUGUGCAAACAUAAAUUCCCAUUGCAGAAUUUACAUAUUUUGGAUUUUUUAUACAAAUAUAAUUAAACAUUGUGUUUGUUCAUUCAUUUUUCUGAUGUCCAGAUGUGCUCUAAAUGGCAUAGAAUUCGGAUUGUUUUAUCAUGAAUUCAAUACAGAAGAUAAUAAUGGUAUUUUCAACAUUGACCAGCAGUAUGUCACCAGUAGCACUUAAGCGUAUUAUUCGGGGAUUGCAGAACUAGAAGUGUUACUAUUUUGCUACCAUCAAUAUCCAUGUAAAUAAGUUAGUCCUCCAUUGGUGCUUUUACCGAGACAAUAUUUUAGUCGGUGUUACUAAUGUGUUGUUGAGUAGCAUCCAAGCGCGUGAUAGCAAUGUUGUUUCUGAUAGCAUUAUCAAUUUUCAAUCUUAUCCACUUCCUUUUGUUUGUACUCCUAUGAAAUUGAAAUUAUUCUCACUUACAGAAAACUCUACCCAUAUUUUGUAAAUUUAGUAGUUUUACUUGCAACAAAAAUUACAUAUUUUUAUCUCUAACAUGUCAUGACACCCUCUUCAAUGAUGCUAUACAUUACUAUCUUGUUGAAAAAUAGAUGGGUGAGGCAACGCGCGCCGCCAUGAUCUAGUAUUCCUUCGAAACCGGCCUAGCUCUAC